AGUGGCGAACGGGUGAGUAAUAUAUCGGAACGUACCCUGGAGUGGGGGAUAACGUAGCGAAAGUUACGCUAAUACCGCAUACGAUCUAAGGAUGAAAGUGGGGGAUCGCAAGACCUCAUGCUCCUGGAGCGGCCGAUAUCUGAUUAGCUAGUUGGUAGGGUAAAAGCCUACCAAGGCAUCGAUCAGUAGCUGGUCUGAGAGGACGACCAGCCACACUGGAACUGAGACACGGUCCAGACUCCUACGGGAGGCAGCAGUGGGGAAUUUUGGACAAUGGGCGCAAGCCUGAUCCAGCAAUGCCGCGUGAGUGAAGAAGGCCUUCGGGUUGUAAAGCUCUUUUGUCAGGGAAGAAACGGGUUUUUCUAAUACAGAGAUCUAAUGACGGUACCUGAAGAAUAAGCACCGGCUAACUACGUGCCAGCAGCCGCGGUAAUACGUAGGGUGCAAGCGUUAAUCGGAAUUACUGGGCGUAAAGCGUGCGCAGGCGGUUUUGUAAGACUGUCGUGAAAUCCCCGGGCUCAACCUGGGAAUGGCGAUGGUGACUGCAAGGCUAGAGUUUGGCAGAGGGGGGUAGAAUUCCACGUGUAGCAGUGAAAUGCGUAGAUAUGUGGAGGAACACCGAUGGCGAAGGCAGCCCCCUGGGUCAAAACUGACGCUCAUGCACGAAAGCGUGGGGAGCAAACAGGAUUAGAUACCCUGGUAGUCCACGCCCUAAACGAUGUCUACUAGUUGUCGGGUUUUAAUUAACUUGGUAACGCAGCUAACGCGUGAAGUAGACCGCCUGGGGAGUACGGUCGCAAGAUUAAAACUCAAAGGAAUUGACGGGGACCCGCACAAGCGGUGGAUGAUGUGGAUUAAUUCGAUGCAACGCGAAAAACCUUACCUACCCUUGACAUGGCAGAAAUCCUCGAGAGAUUGAGGAGUGCUCGAAAGAGAAUCUGCACACAGGUGCUGCAUGGCUGUCGUCAGCUCGUGUCGUGAGAUGUUGGGUUAAGUCCCGCAACGAGCGCAACCCUUGUCAUUAGUUGCUACGAAAGAGCACUCUAAUGAGACUGCCGGUGACAAACCGAGGAAGGUGGGGAUGACGUCAAGUCCUCAUGGCCCUUAUGGGUAGGGCUUCACACGUCAUACAAUGGUACAUACAGAGGGCCGCCAACCCGCGAGGGGGAGCUAAUCCCAGAAAGUGUAUCGUAGUCCGGAUUGUAGUCUGCAACUCGACUGCAUGAAGUUGGAAUCGCUAGUAAUCGCGGAUCAGCAUGUCGCGGUGAGUACGUUCCCGGGUCUUGUACACACCGCCCGUCA
rnacentral:rRNA from 1 species